rnacentral:piRNA from 1 species
UCUGCUUUGUUGUGCACUUGGUGGCUUC